rnacentral:rRNA from 1 species
GACGAACGCUGGCGGCGUGCUUAACACAUGCAAGUCGAACGGAAAGGCCCUGCUUUUGUGGGGUGCUCGAGUGGCGAACGGGUGAGUAACACGUGCGUAACCUGCCCUUGACUUUGGGAUAACUUCAGGAAACUGGGGCUAAUACCGGAUAGGAGCUCCUUCUGCAUGGUGGGGGUUGGAAAGUUUCGGCGGUUGGGGAUGGACUCGCGGCUUAUCAGCUUGUUGGUGGGGUAGUGGCUUACCAAGGCAUUGACGGGUAGCCGGCCUGAGAGGGUGACCGGCCACAUUGGGACUGAGAUACGGCCCAGACUCCUACGGGAGGCAGCAGUGGGGAAUAGUGCACAAUGGGCGGAAGCCUGAUGCAGCAACGCCGCGUGCGGGAUGACGGCCUUCGGGUUGUAAACCGCUUUCGCCUGUGACGAAGCGUGAGUGACGGUAAUGGGUAAAGAAGCACCGGCUAACUACGUG